AUCUUCAGGGCAGGGUGAGAUUCCCGACCGGCGGUAAAGUCCGCGAGCGCGACAGCGCAUGAUUUGGUGAGAUUCCAAAACCGACAGUACAGUCUGGAUGAGAGAAGAU
rnacentral:ncRNA from 1 species